GGGGUUGUGGCUCAGUGGUAGAGUGCUUGCCUAGCAUGCAUGAGGCACUAGUUCAAUCCUCAGCACCA
rfam:Ictidomys tridecemlineatus contig051799, whole genome shotgun sequence.